rnacentral:rRNA from 1 species
GACGAACGCUGGCGGCGUGCUUAACACAUGCAAGUCGAACGGAACGGCCCUGCUUUUGUGGGGUGCUCGAGUGACGAACGGGUGAGUAACACGUGAGUAACCUGCCCUUGACUUUGGGAUAACUUAAGGAAACUGGGGCUAAUACCGGAUAGGAGCUCCUGCUGCAUGGUGGGGGUUGGAAAGUUUCGGCGGUUGGGGAUGGACUCGCGGCUCAUCAGCUUGGUGGUGGGGUAGUGUCUUACCAAGGCUUUGACGCGUAGCCGGCCUGAGAGGGGGGCCUGCCACAUUGGGUUUGGGCUGCGGCCCAGACUCCUCCGGGACGGAGCAGUGGGGAAUAGUACACAGUGGGCGGAAGCCUGAUGCAGCAACGCCGCGUGGGGGAUGACGGCCUUCGGGUUGUAAUCCGCUUUCGUCUGUGGCGAAGCGUGAGUGACGGUAAUGGGUAAAGAAGCACCGGCUAACUACGUG